rnacentral:tRNA from 1 species
AAGGGAGACCUAAUUCGGGUAUAAGACGAAAAAAGAGUAGUCGAAACCAAGAAUCAAUCCCAAAAGGUCGGAACGAGGUAUGUGGCUUUCAAACUAGGUUCUGGGUUCACACAAGACCUGAAUCAGGAACAAGGGCUAUUAGCUCAGGUGGUUAGAGCGCACCCCUGAUAAGGGUGAGGUCCCUGGUUCGAGUCCAGGAUGGCCCACCUGCACAGGUGGCAAAAACAAAGAAGCGUGGAAUCAGCACCUUAUCUUAUCUAUAUAUAAGAGAGAAUGCUGGCUCUGAGUAAAGAGUCCAGAGGAACCUUGAAAACUGCAUAGAGCUAGGUGAAAAAGCCAAAAAAGAAGACCGCAA